UACGGGAGGCAGCAGUGGGGGAUAUUGCACAAUGGGGGAAACCCUGAUGCAGCGACGCCGCGUGAGUGAAGAAGUAUUUCGGUAUGUAAAGCUCUAUCAGCAGGGAAGAAAAUGACGGUACGUGACUAAGAAGCUCCGGCUAAAUACGUGCCUUGCAGCCG
rnacentral:rRNA from 1 species